rnacentral:pre_miRNA from 1 species
UCUUAGGGAUGAGCAAAAAUAGUGGUUUUUUGAGAUGGAAUCUACUCCUGGCAAAGUUGCUGUGAA